rnacentral:rRNA from 1 species
UAGUCCACACCGUAAACGAUGGAUGCUAGCCGUUGGGCAGUUUACUGUUCAGUGGCGCAGCUAACGCAUUAAGCAUCCCGCCUGGGGAGUACGGUCGCAAGAUUAAAACUCAAAGGAAUUGACGGGGGCCCGCACAAGUGGUGGAGCAUGUGGUUUAAUUCGAAGCAACGCGCAGAACCUUACCAGCCCUUGACAUACCAAUCGCGGAUUUCAGAGAUGAUUUCCUUCAGCUUGGCUGGACCGUGUACAGGUGCUGCACGGCUGUCGUCAGCUCGUGUCGUGAGAUGUUGGGUUAAGUCCCGCAACGAGCGCAACCCUCAUCCUUAGUUGCUAACAUUUAGUUGAGAACUCUAAGGAAACUGCCGGUGAUAAACCGGAGGAAGGUGGGGAUGACGUCAAGUCUUCAUGGCCCUUAUGGGCUGGGCUACACACGUGCUACAAUGGCGAUGACAAAGGGCUGCGACUCCGCGAGGAGAAGCUAAUCUCUAAAAGUCGUCUCU